GUCUAGGAUUUUUGAAGGCUUGAAGAGUGAAGGCUGGGAGUGGGGGUGUGCUCUGAGCCUGGCUGCAGCUAUCCUAGAACAAUUCCAAAGGAAGCUGAGAAGGUAGAGGCAUCGACCAGUGACCCCCUAACUGUGUUGAUCAAAGUGAAUGAAUUACGGUGAAAAGCCAACUCCAGGGGCUGGAGGACCCAGCGCUGAUCCACCUGGCAGCACACGUACGUCCAAGAACUCAGCCCGCACAUUAUAAAGGGUGGGCUUGAGCAUUAUCAGCCAAGCAGAGAAGGGAAGAAAUGGAGUAAGCAAGAGGGGACAACAGCUUAGAGAGGUGAAAAAGCAGAAAACUCUCACGGAACUGGAUAGUAGCUUCAGACAGACUUGCAGGCCUUGGAGCAGAAAGAAGGCACUCCCAGGGAGGCCCCUGGCACACACUCAAGAUUCGGGAAGAGGAAGAUUUGCCCUCCUGUUUCCACCUCUUCUCUCCUCUCUAGAUGACAGCAGACAUCCGAGACCAGGACAGUGUCAAGAACUGCAGAGGCUCCACUUCACAGAUGGUGAAAUUGCUUCCCUGAAACAGAGCCUGAGAUGAUACAGCAAGCUGGUGAUAAAACAAGUAGUAGAACCCAGGUCUCCCACCUCCCACUGCAAGCUCUUUCCAACAGGCUGCGCUGCCUGUCAGAGCCCUGAGUACAAACCGCUGAUGGCAAGAAGCACGGCUAAAACUCAAUGGCAACAGGUUAUGUGAGAUACACCUCCAUCAUUUCACCUCUCAAGUGAUCCAGGCAUCAACCCUCUUGGGUCCUUCUCAGCCCUGCAGUGGCUUCUCCAUCCGAUGCUUACCAUCCCCAGAACCCGCCAUCACCUUAUAUACCAUCUUCAGCUAAAGACAAAAGAAGAUGCUGAGGGUGGGGAGAGUCAGUUCUAGGAGAUGGUGAUGAGGCCCUGUUCCUUGGUCCUCUCAAGGAGUUAAAACCAAGCAGGACCCUGUGGGGCUCCUGGACAGAGAAGACUUUCUGUCCCCCACUUCCUGUUUAUAGGGAACAGCCUCCAUGACCUCCGUUGAGUUCCAAAGGGCAGGUUCAAACAGUUGCUAAUCAAGGGAGAAGCAGCCAAGAAACCA